rnacentral:rRNA from 1 species
UACGUAGGGGGCAAGCGUUGUCCGGAUUUAUUGGGCGUAAAGAGCGUGUAGGCGGCCAGGUAGGUCAGCUGUGAAAACUCGAGGCUCAACCUCGAGACGUCGGUUGAAACCACCUGGCUAGAGUCCGGAAGAGGAGAGUGGAAUUCCUGGUGUAGCGGUGAAAUGCGCAGAUAUCAGGAAGAACACCCGUGGCGAAGGCGGGUCUCUGGGACGGUACUGACGCUGAGACGCGAAAGCGUGGGGAGCGAACAGG